rnacentral:rRNA from 1 species
UACGGAGGGUGCGAGCGUUGUCCGGAAUCACUGGGCGUAAAGGGCGCGUAGGUGGCCUGUGGAAGUCUGCGGUGAAAGCCCGGCGCUCAACGCCGGGUCGGCCGCGGAUACUCUCGGGCUUGAGCUUACUAGAGGCAGAUGGAAUUCCGGGUGUAGCGGUGGAAUGCGUAGAGAUCCGGAAGAACACCGGUGGCGAAGGCGGUCUGCUGGGGUAAUGCUGACACUGAGGCGCGACAGCGUGGGGAGCAAACAGG